AAUAAGGCUUUUUUUGAAGCCAAAUUAUAUGAGCUAGAAAUCUUAAG
rnacentral:ncRNA from 1 species